rnacentral:ncRNA from 1 species
UCAGAUCGAAAUGCUUAAGGUGCCCGACCGCAUCGCGGAAGGGAGAAUUGGGAAGCCGGUGCCCUCGACAGGAGGAACCCCGGCGCUGCCCCCGCAACGGUAGCGGAGCGCAAACCUCGACGGUGAGCCACUGGGGAAACAGCCCCGGGAAGGUGUCGAGGCGGUCCCCUAAAGGGACGGCUCCGGAGCCCGGAAACCAGCCUUGGGCACGUUGGUCUC